rnacentral:rRNA from 1 species
CCUACGGGUGGCAGCAGUGAGGAAUAUUGGUCAAUGGCCGGAAGGCUAAACCAGCCAAGCCGCGUGAAGGACGAAGGUGCCAAGCAUUGUAAACUUCUUUUGUCAAGGGACAAAAUCAGGCUCGAGAGCCUGACCGAGGGUACUUGAAGAAAAAGCAUCGGCUAGCUCCGUGCCAGCAGCCGCGGUAAUACGGAGGAUGCGAGCGUUAUCCGGAUUUAUUGGGUUUAAAGGGUGCGUAGGCGGGCUGUUAAGUCAGCGGUAAAAGCCCGGGGCUCAACCCCGGCGAGCCGUUGAAACUGGCUGUCUUGAGAUGUCGAGAGGUAUGCGGAAUGCGCAGUGUAGCGGUGAAAUGCUUAGAUAUUGCGCAGAACUCCGAUUGCGAAGGCAGCAUACCGGCGGCGAUCUGACGCUGAGGCACGAAAGCGUGGGUAUCGAACAGGAUUAGAUACCCGUGUAGUC